rnacentral:rRNA from 1 species
CCUACGGGAGGCAGCAGUGGGGAAUAUUGGACAAUGGGGGGAACCCUGAUCCAGCGACGCCGCUUGCGUGCCGCCUUCUUUCUUUCUUUCCCUCUCUCUCAGCAGGGAAGAAAGAAAUGACGGUACCUGACUAAGAAGCCCCGGCUAACUACGUGCCAGCAGCCGCGGUAAUACGUAGGGGGCAAGCGUUAUCCGGAUUUACUGGGUGUAAAGGGAGCGUAGACGGCGAUGCAAGUCUGAAGUGAAAGGCGGGGGCCCAACCCCCGGACUGCUUUGGAAACUGUAUGGCUGGAGUGCAGGAGAGGUAAGUGGAAUUCCUAGUGUAGCGGUGAAAUGCGUAGAUAUUAGGAGGAACACCAGUGGCGAAGGCGGCUUACUGGACUGUAACUGACGUUGAGGCUCGAAAGCGUGGGGAGCAAACAGGAUUAGAUACCCUUGUAGUC